rnacentral:rRNA from 1 species
UACGUAGGGUGCGAGCGUUGUCCGGAAUUACUGGGCGUAAAGAGCUCGUAGGUGGUUUGUCACGUUGUCCGUGAAAACUCACAGCUUAACUGUGGGCGUGCGGGCGAUACGGGCAGACUGGAGUACUGUAGGGGAGACUGGAAUUCCUGGUGUAGCGGUGGAAUGCGGAGAUAUCAGGAGGAACACCGGUGGCGAAGGCGGGGCUCUGGGCAGUAACUGACGCUGAGGUGCGAAAGCGUGGGGAGCGAACAGG